rnacentral:rRNA from 1 species
CGAGACAGUGAUGUUAAGNGAACCCAAAAAGACAGUCUCAGUUCGGAUUGAAGGCUGAAAUUCGCCUUCAUGAAGCCGGAAUUGCUAGUAAUGGCAGGUCAGCAUACUGCCGUGAAUACGUUCCCGGGCCUUGUACACACCGCCCGUCACACCAUGAGAGUUGGGGAUACCCGAAGCCUGUGAGCUAACAGAAAUGGAGCAACAGUCGAAGGUAGAAUCAAUGAUUGGGGUGAAGUCGUAACAAGGUACC